GACGAACGCUGGCGGCGUGCCUAAUACAUGCAAGUCGAACGCAUUUUCUUUCACCGUAGCUUGCUACACCGAAAGAAAAUGAGUGGCGAACGGGUGAGUAACACGUGGGUAACCUGCCCAUCAUCGGGGGAUAACACUUGGAAACAGGUGCUAAUACCGCAUAAUUCCAUUUACCGCAUGGUAGAUGGAUGAAAGGCGCUUUUGCGUCACUGAUGGAUGGACCCGCGGUGCAUUAGCUAGUUGGUGGGGUAACGGCCUACCAAGGCUGCGAUGCAUAGCCGACCUGAGAGGGUGAUCGGCCACACUGGGACUGAGACACGGCCCAGACUCCUACGGGAGGCAGCAGUAGGGAAUCUUCGGCAAUGGACACAAGUCUGACCGAGCAACGCCGCGUGAGUGAAGAAGGUUUUCGGAUCGUAAAACUCUGUUGUUAGAGAAGAACAAGGAUGAGAGUGGAAAGUUCAUCCCUUGACGGUAUCUAACCAGAAAGCCACGGCUAACUACGUG
rnacentral:rRNA from 1 species